GAUGAACGCUGGCGGCGUGCCUAACACAUGCAAGUCGAGCGAACCCUUCGGGGUGAGCGGCGGACGGGUGAGUAACGCGUGGGUAACCUGCCCUGUACACACGGAUAACAUACCGAAAGGUAUGCUAAUACGAGAUAAUAUAUUUUAAUCGCAUGGUUAAGAUAUCAAAGCUCCGGCGGUACAGGAUGGACCCGCGUCUGAUUAGCUAGUUGGUGAGGUAAUGGCUCACCAAGGCGACGAUCAGUAGCCGACCUGAGAGGGUGAUCGGCCACACUGGAACUGAGACACGGUCCAGACUCCUACGGGAGGCAGCAGUGGGGAAUAUUGCACAAUGGGCGAAAGCCUGACCCAGCGACGCCGCGUGAGGGAAGAAGGUCUUCGGAUUGUAAACCUUAGUCAACAGGGAAGAAGCAAGUGACGGUACCUGUGGAGGAAGCCACGGCUAACUACGUG
rnacentral:rRNA from 1 species